UUGUUGACAGUGACUGUGGACUGUUCUCAGGAGGAGGGACAAUGCCUGGACCCUGCUCAGAGGGCUUUGUGCAGAGAUUGCAUAUUGCAGAGUUGCCCCAGUGUGCUUUCUGUGGGUCACACUCAGAAGCCAGACCUGCUCACUUUUGAAGCAGAACAGAGAAGCCUAGAAGGUGGAGAGAAUGGACACAGUAGCAAAUGUACCAGGAUUCAUUUUGUUGAAACCUUGAAUGUGGUCACUGACUAGGCAGAGAGGGGAUCUUGGUGAACAUUGGGUGAGCAUUUCUUUCAUGACUAACAGUGUGGAGC